CCUACGGGCGGCAGCAGUGGGGAAUAUUGGACAAUGGGGGCAACCCUGAUCCAGCCAUGCCGCGGGUGUGAAGAAGGCCCUCGGGUUGUAAAGCACUUUCAGUGAGGAAGAACGCCUGGUGGUUAAUACCCAUCAGGAAAGACAUCACUCACAGAAGAAGCACCGGCUAACUCCGUGCCAGCAGCCGCGGUAAUACGGAGGGUGCGAGCGUUAAUCGGAAUUACUGGGCGUAAAGCGCGCGUAGGUGGCUUGAUAAGCCGGUUGUGAAAGCCCCGGGCUCAACCUGGGAACGGCAUCCGGAACUGUCAAGCUAGAGUGCAGGAGAGGAAGGUAGAAUUCCCGGUGUAGCGGUGAAAUGCGUAGAGAUCGGGAGGAAUACCAGUGGCGAAGGCGGCCUUCUGGACUGACACUGACACUGAGGUGCGAAAGCGUGGGUAGCAAACAGGAUUAGAUACCCCUGUAGUC
rnacentral:rRNA from 1 species